AUGCUUGUCAAUGGCAGACAUAGAAAGAAACACAUAUUCACCCUUGACCAGGAGGAAGGCCAAAUUGAGGGGGACAUACCUCUUAGAACUUUUAUUACUAAGUAUUACAAAGAGCUUUUUGGACCUUCAGCUGAAUCAAAUUUUCAGCUGGAUGAAUCCAUUACUCAUGACAUUCCUCAAGUUACGGAAGCGGAAAAUGAAUUCCUAACCUCCCCGUUCUCUGAGGAGGAAAUUCGAACCGCGGUGUUUCAAAUGGGACACAACAAGGCUCCGGGUCCGGAUGGCUUUCCCGUAGAGUUCUAUCAAUGUUUUUGGGACGUCUUUAAGGCAGACUUGGUUCAGUUGUUUAACCAACUGCAUGCUGAAGACCUUGACAUUUCUCGUUUAAACUUUGGGGAAAUUAUCCUAUUGCCAAAGAUCGAGGAGGCUAGUCAUAUUCAACUAUAUCGACCAAUUUGCCUUCUGAAUGUAAGUUUUAAAAUCUUUAUGAAGGUCGCAACUAAUCGGUUAAACGGGGUGGCUGACCAUGUCGUAAAACCCACUCAAACAACAUUUAUGCAAGGCCGCAACAUAUUAGAUGGAGUGGUCGUCUUGCACGAAACUGUACAUGAGCUUCACUGA
rnacentral:rRNA from 1 species